GCCGGGCACACUGACACACGCCUGUCAUCCCAGCAGCUUGGGAGGCUGAGGCAGGAGGAUCGCGUGUUCAAAGCCAGCUUCAGCAAAAGUGAGGCUCUGAGCAAUUCAGUGAGACCCUGUCUCUA
rnacentral:sRNA from 1 species